rnacentral:rRNA from 1 species
GAUGAAUGCUGGCGGCGUGCCUAAUACAUGCAAGUCGAGCGGUAAGGCCCUUCGGGGUACACGAGCGGCGGACGGCUGAGUAACGCGUGGGAACAUGCCCCAAAGUGAGGGAUAACGCACCGAAAGGUGUGCUAAUACCGCAUAUGGUCUUCGGAUUAAAGGAUUUAUCCGCUUUGGGAGUGGCCUGCGUACGAUUAGAUUGUUGGUGAGGUAACGGCUCACCAAGUCGACGAUCGUUAACUGGUCUGAGAGGAUGAUCAGUCAGACUGGAACUGAGACACGGUCCAGACUCCUACGGGAGGCAGCAGUAAGGAAUCUUCCACAAUGGGCGAAAGCCUGAUGGAGCAACGCCGCGUGCAGGAUGAAGGCCCUCGGGUCGUAAACUGCUUUAUGAGUGAAGAAUAUGACGGUAACUCAUGAAUAAGCACCGGACUAACUACGUGCCAGCAGCCGCGGUAAU